AGCAGCCGCGGUAAUUCCAGCUCCAAUAGCGUAUAUUAAAGUUGUUGCAGUUAAAAAGCUCGUAGUUGAAUUUCGGGAUCAGACUGUCGGUUGUGCCUCGGUACACACUGGCAUUAUUGGUUCCUACCUUCUGAAGAACCGCGAUGUCAUUAAUUUGGUGUCGUGGGGAAUCAGGACUGUUACUUUGAAAAAAUUAGAGUGUUUAAAGCAGGCGCACGCUUGAAUACAUUAGCAUGGAAUAAUGAAAUAGGACGUUUGAUUCUAUUUUGUUGGUUUCUAGGAUCGACGUAAUGAUUAAUAGGGAUAGUUGGGGGCAUUAGUAUUCAAUUGUCAGAGGUGAAAUUCUUGGAUUUAUUGAAGACUAACUACUGCGAAAGCAUUUGCCAAGGAUGUUUUCAUUAAUCAAGAACGAAAGUUAGGGGAUCGAAGACGAAUCAGAUACCGUCGUAGUCUUAACCAUAAACUAUGCCGACUAGGGAUCGGAUGAUGUUAAUUUUUUAAUGACUCAUUCGGCGCCUUA
rnacentral:sRNA from 1 species